rnacentral:rRNA from 1 species
GCUCAACCGGGGAGGGUCAUUGGAAACUGGGGAACUUGAGUGCAGAAGAGGAGAGUGGAAUUCCACGUGUAGCGGUGAAAUGCGUAGAGAUGUGGAGGAACACCAGUGGCGAAGGCGACUCUCUGGUCUGUAACUGACGCUGAGGAGCGAAAGCGUGGGGAGCGAACAGGAUUAGAUACCCUGGUAGUCCACGCCGUAAACGAUGAGUGCUAAGUGUUAGGGGGUUUCCGCCCCUUAGUGCUGCAGCUAACGCAUUAAGCACUCCGCCUGGGGAGUACGGUCGCAAGACUGAAACUCAAAGGAAUUGACGGGGGCCCGCACAAGCGGUGGAGCAUGUGGUUUAAUUCGAAGCAACGCGAAGAACCUUACCAGGUCUUGACAUCCUCUGACAAUCCUAGAGAUAGGACGCCCCCUUCGGGGGCAGAGUGACAGGUGGUGCAUGGUUGUCGUCAGCUCGUGUCGUGAGAUGUUGGGUUAAGUCCCGCAACGAGCGCAACCCUUGAUCUUAGUUGCCAGCAUUCAGUUGGGCACUCUAAGGUGACUGCCGGUGACAAACCGGAGGAAGGUGGGGAUGACGUCAAAUCAUCAUGCCCCUUAUGACCUGGGCUACACACGUGCUACAAUGGACAGAACAAAG